AACGAACGCUGGCGGCAGGCUUAACACAUGCAAGUCGAGCGCCCCGCAAGGGGAGCGGCAGACGGGUGAGUAACACGUGGGAACGUACCCUUUACUACGGAAUAGCUCCGGGAAACUGGAAUUAAUACCGUAUGUGCCCUUUGGGGGAAAGAUUUAUCGGUAAAGGAUCGGCCCGCGUUGGAUUAGCUAGUUGGUGGGGUAAAGGCCUACCAAGGCGACGAUCCAUAGCUGGUCUGAGAGGAUGAUCAGCCACAUUGGGACUGAGACACGGCCCAAACUCCUACGGGAGGCAGCAGUGGGGAAUAUUGGACAAUGGGCGCAAGCCUGAUCCAGCCAUGCCGCGUGAGUGAUGAAGGCCUUAGGGUUGUAAAGCUCUUUCACCGGGGAAGAUAAUGACGGUACCCGGAGAAGAAGCCCUGGCUAACUUCGUGCCAGCCGCCGCAGUAA
rnacentral:rRNA from 1 species